rnacentral:rRNA from 1 species
UUUUUUGAGAGUUUGAUCCUAGCUCAGGAUGAACGCUGGCGGCGUGGAUAAGGCAUGCAAGUCGCGCGGUUUAAUGCACCUCACUAUAGUUCGGUGCCGCUGAUUUAUGCGGAUUUUGGCUGAUUGAUGCUGAUACUAAAUUAUCGGCAUAAAUCGGCUUUAUCAGCAUUUAUCAGCGACACACCGAGCGAUAGUGAGGUGUGUUAUACAGCGGCGAACGGGUUAGUAAUACCCUGGUACAUACCACAGAGUUUGGCAUAGCCCAUCGAAAGGUGGGGUAAUUCCAAAUAGUCUCACUUUUCGCAAGAAAUUUGAGUAAAGGUUUCGCAAGAAAUCGCUUUGUGAUUGGCCUAGGCCCGAUCAGCUAGUUGGUAGAGUAAAAGCCUACCAAGGCUAUGACCGGUAGGGGGGCUGAGAGGCUGUACCCCAACAACGCAACUGAGACACGGUGCGUACGCCUACGGGUGGCAGCAGUCGAGAAUAUUCCACAAUGGGGGAAACCCUGAUGGAGCGACGCCGCGUGCAGGAUGAAGGUCUUCGGAUCGUAAACUGCUUUUAAUAGGGAUAAAGCCGAGCACUUAAUGCACAUAAUCUAAUUUUUCUGAAUUAAAUAAAUUUAGGUUUAUUUUGUUUGAUUGUGUCUAUUAAGUGCUCGGUUGAUAGUACCUAUGGAAUAAGGGGCGACAAACUACGUGCCAGCAGUAGCGGUAAUACGUAGGCCCCGAGCGUUAUCCGGAUUUAUUGGGUGUAAAGAGUGCGUAGGAGGUUUGACGCGUUAAUCGUAAAAUUUCACCGCUCAACGGUGAAUUGGCGGUUAAAACGGUCUUACUAGAGGAUGCCAGAGGUCAUUGGAACGUACGGUGUAGGGGUGAAAUCCGUUGAUAUCGUACGGAACACCAAAGGCGAAGGCAAAUGACUGGGGCUUUCCUGACUCUGAGGCACGAAAGCGUGGGGAGCAAAAAGGAUUAGAUACCCUUGUAGUCCACGCUGUAAACGAUGUUCACUUGCUAUUUCGAGUAUCGACCCUCGAAGUGGCGUAGCUAACGCGUUAAGUGAACCACCUGGGAAGUACGGCCGCAAGGCUAAAACUCAAAGGAAUAGACGGGGACUCGCACAAGCGGUGGAGCAUGAGGUUUAAUUCGACAACAAACGAGGAACCUUACCAGGGCUUGACAUUCUAACGAAUUCUCCGGGAAACCGGGGAAGUCUCUCAAGGACGUUAGAACAGGUGCUGCAUGGUUGCCGUCAGCUCGUGAUUUGAAUUGUUCCCUUAAGUGGGGUAACGAGCGCAACCCCUGUCUCGAGUUAUAUAUGUCUCGAGAGACUGCCGUGUUUAACGCGGAGGAAGGCGGGGAUGACGUCAAAUCAGCACGGCCCUUUGAUGCCCUGGGCCACACUCAUGCUACAAUGGUCGGUAUAACGGGUUGCCAAGCCGUAAGGCGGAGCUAAUCCCUAAAACCGAUCUCAAUUCGGAUUGAGGGCUGCAACUCGCCCUCAUGAAGCCGGAAUCGCUAGUAAUCGCGCAUCAGCUAUGGCGCGGUGAAUACGUUCUCGAGUCCUGUACUCACAGUAAACGCGCCGAGCAGGUUAUUAAUCUAAACGGUUAAAAUCCGUU